AUUGAACGCUGGCGGCAGGCCUAACACAUGCAAGUCGAGCGGAUGAAGGGAGCUUGCUCCUGGAUUCAGCGGCGGACGGGUGAGUAAUGCCUAGGAAUCUGCCUGGUAGUGGGGGAUAACGUCCGGAAACGGGCGCUAAUACCGCAUACGUCCUGAGGGAGAAAGUGGGGGAUCUUCGGACCUCACGCUAUCAGAUGAGCCUAGGUCGGAUUAGCUAGUUGGUGGGGUAAAGGCCUUCCAAGGCGACGAUCCGUAACUGGUCUGAGAGGAUGAUCAGUCACACUGGAAUUGAGACACGGUCCAGACUCCUACGGGAGGCAGCAGUGGGGAAUAUUGGACAAUGGGCGAAAGCCUGAUCCAGCCAUGCCGCGUGUGUGAAGAAGGUCUUCGGAUUGUAAAGCACUUUAAGUUGGGAGGAAGGGCAGUAAGUUAAUACCUUGCUGUUUUGACGUUACCAACAGAAUAAGCACCGGCUAACUUCGUG
rnacentral:rRNA from 1 species